UACGUAGGGGGCUAGCGUUGUCCGGAAUUACUGGGCGUAAAGGGCUCGUAGGCGGCCAACUAAGUCAGACGUGAAAUCCCCAGGCUCAACCUGGGAACUGCGUCUGAUACUGGAUGGCUUGAAUCCGGGAGAGGGAUGUGGAAUUCCAGGUGUAGCGGUGAAAUGCGUAGAUAUCUGGAGGAACACCGGUGGCGAAGGCGGCAUCCUGGACCGGUAUUGACGCUGAUGCGCGAAAGCCAGGGGAGCAAACGGG
rnacentral:rRNA from 1 species